UGUGUCCCUGGUCGUAGGAAGAGGCCUGACGGAGAGGAGUAGUGUAUUGGUGGCAACCACAGUCUUUACCUUAAGUAAGCUGGAGCUCGGACGUGUUGGAGGCGCCUCUGGAGGAGGUUGGAUGUCGUUGCCCACGCAGCAAUCCCUCGAAGGACAACAGCCGAUCCUCCCCCGUGUGCCCCCUUGUCAAGCUGGGCGGGAAGCCCAGUAUUGUUUGCAGUUUCACCUGUAAGGCCCACCAGCCGUCAGUCAUCGACUAAACCCGUAUCUGCUUGGAAUACAGACCUCUGAAUAUCUUCAGUGGUGAGUAGCGCAUUAACAGCUCAGCCCUGUGAAUACCCACCUGUGUAUGGAACACUGUACUUACAUUGAGAGCUAGAACCCCUGCACGCUAACAGCUCAGCCCUGUGAAUACUUACCUGUGUAUGGAACACUGUACUUACAUUGAGAGCUAGAACCCCUGCACGCUAACAGCUCAGCCCUGUGAAUACUUACCUGUGUAUGGAACACUGUACUUACAUUGAGAGCUAGAACCCCUGCACGCUAACAGCUCAGCCCUGUGAAUACUUACCUGUGUAUCGAACACUGUACUUACCUGAGAGCUAGAACCCCUGCACGCUAACAGCCCAGCCCUGUGAAUACCCACCUGUGUAUCGAACACUGUAUUUACCUGAGAGCUAGAACCCCUGCACGCUAACAGCCCAGCCCUGUGAAUACUUACCUGUGUAUCGAACACUGUACUUACCUGAGAGCUAGAACCCCUGCACGCUAACAGCCCAGCCCUGUGAAUACUUACCUGUGUAUCGAACACUGUACUUACCUGAGAGCUAGAACCCCUGCACGCUAACAGCCCAGCCCUGUGAAUACCCACCUGUGUAUCGAACACUGUAUUUACCUGAGAGCUAGAACCCCUGCACGCUAACAGCCCAGCCCUUUGAAUACUUACCUGUGUAUGGAACACUGUACUUACUUGAGAGCUAGAACCCCUGCACGCUAACAGCUUAGCCCUGUGAAUACUCACCUGUGUAUUGAACUCUGUAUUUACCUGAGAGCUAGAACCCCUGCACGUCAACUGCCUAGCUCUUGCUUUAAACUUACCUGGAGUGGAGUCGGCGGGAAAUUAAGGGCUGAAGUGGAGUGUUGUCGAGGAAGGGCUGAAGAGGAGUGUUCUUGAGACUGGAAUCCGUAUUUGUGGAUAAAGAAUAGUUCGAGUCAUCAUUAGUUUUAAAGUUUCCUUACCCCUUUCCCCAAACUUUUAAACAAAUAAAAUUGUUACAUUUUAA